rnacentral:rRNA from 1 species
UGCAGAAUCCCGCGAAUCAUCGAGUUUUUGAACGCAAGUUGCGCCCGAAGCCAUUCGGCCGAGGGCACGUCUGCCUGGGUGUCACGC